GGGCACAUAGCUCAGUGGUAGAGCGCUACGUUGACGUCGUAGAGGUCGUAGGUUCGAACCCUACUGCGCCCACCA
rnacentral:tRNA from 1 species